GGGCUUGCACAGGUGCUGCAUGGCUGUCGUCAGCUCGUGUCGUGAGAUGUUCGGUUAAGUCCGCUAACGAGCGCAACCCUCACUGUGUGUUAUAUGUGUCACACGGGGACCGCCGGUCUUAAGCCGGAGGAAGGUGGGGAUGACGUCAAGUCAGCAUGGCCUUUAUAUCCUGGGCUACACACACGCUACAAUGGCCAACACAAUAGGUUGCUAAGCCGCGAGGUGGAGCCAAUCCAUAAAGUUGGUCUCAGUUCAGAUUGUAGGCUGCAACCCGCCUGCAUGAAGAUGGAGUUGCUAGUAACCGCAGGUCAGCUAUACUGCGGUGAAUACGUUCCCGGGGCUU
rnacentral:rRNA from 1 species